ACAUACGACCACACCCACUGGAAUAUACGGGAUCCCGUCCGCCCUCCCCUAGUGAAACCAGUGAGGGCUGGUUUGGUGAUUUCGAUGGGCGUCCCCACGUCGCGCGAGUUUCUUUCUUC
rnacentral:rRNA from 1 species